AAGACUAUACUUUCAGGGAUCAUUUCUAUAGUUUGUUACUAGAGAAGCCUCUCUGAAUGUGCAGCGCACCGAAAACCACGAGGAGGAAGUGUAGCGUUUUCUCCUGAGCGUGAAGUUGGCUCUUGGUGUUGCGUUGCUAAUACACCUUCAUCAGCUAAUCUGAUAUGCUACAGUUCUGGCUUUUACCUGUGAAAAUUUUGUAGCAGAGGU